rnacentral:lncRNA from 1 species
UAGGAAGGACUUCAGUAAGAAGACAGCACAGACUGAACACAUCAGGCCCAGGACAUGGCCCUGUACUGACAAGCGUAAUGACCAGCGACUUGCUUCCACACGCUGGCCAUGUGUUUUUGAAAACUCUGCUGUUCAGAUUCGCUGGUAUCAAGAAGAUGUAAAGGACUGA